CACAGCACCCAGGACUCGGAGGCUACUGGGCCGCUGUUACCUGGGUGCUGUGAA
rnacentral:precursor_RNA from 1 species